rnacentral:rRNA from 1 species
UACGAAGGGUCCUAGCGUUGUUCGGAAUCACUGGGCGUAAAGCGCAUGUAGGUGGUUUGGUAAGUCAGGUGUGAAAGCCUCGGGCUCAACCCGAGAAGUGCAUUGAUACUGCUGAACUUGAGUGAUGUGAGAGGGUAGUAGAAUUCCUGGUGUAGUGGUGAAAUACGUAGAUAUCAGGAGGAAUACCGGUGGCGAAGGCGGCUACCUGGCACAAUACUGACACUGAGAUGCGAAGCGUGGGGAUCAAACAGG